UGUAACCCUAGAGGCUUUGCAGAGGCGGCUGCUGUGUCACAUGUGCUACAGCAGAUGGCGGCAAAGAGAGAGGCUAUGUCUCCGCUCAGCAUUCUGACCUGUGAACAUCUGAAUGAUUAGACUAACACU